ensembl:miRNA Gm27450 predicted gene, 27450
UAUAUAAUAUAUGUGUGUGUGUGUGUGUAUGUAUGUGUAUACACACACACACACACACACACACACACACAUAUAU